UACGUAGGGUGCAAGCGUUAAUCGGAAUUACUGGGCGUAAAGCGCGCGCAGGCGGCUUUGUAAGUUAGAGGUGAAAGCCCGGGGCUCAACUCCGGAAUUGCCUUUAAGACUGCAUCGCUAGAAUUGUGGAGAGGUAAGUGGAAUUCCGAGUGUAGAGGUGAAAUUCGUAGAUAUUCGGAAGAACACCAGUGGCGAAGGCGACUUACUGGACACAUAUUGACGCUGAGGUGCGAAAGCGUGGGGAGCAAACAGG
rnacentral:rRNA from 1 species